rnacentral:rRNA from 1 species
UCAUACCACCCUGAACAUGCCUGAUCUUGUCUGAUCUCAGAAGCUAAACAGGGUCGGGCCUGGUGAGUAUUUGGAUGGGAGAACAAACUGAAGGUUGCCGGGGG